rnacentral:rRNA from 1 species
GGAAUAUUCCACAAUGGGCGAAAGCCUGAUGGAGCGACGCCGCGUGAGUGAAGAAGGGCUUCGGCUCGUAAAGCUCUUUUCUUGAGGACGAAUGGCGCAUUGGAUGCGCAGGGCCGGUACUUGAGGAAUAAGCAACGGCUAACUACGUGCCAGCAGCCGCGGUAAUACGUAGGUGGCAAGCGUUGUCCGGAAUUAUUGGGCGUAAAGGGAGCGCAGGCGGGAAAUCAAGUCCAAAUUAAAAGUGCAGGAGUAAUGCCUGUGAUGGUUUGGAAACUGAUUUUCUUGAGAGCAGGAGAGGCAAGCGGAAUUCCCAGUGUAGCGGUGAAAUGCGUAGAUAUUGGGAGGAACACCAGUGGCGAAGGCGGCUUGCUGGACUGUGUCUGACGCUGAGGCUCGAAAGCCAGGGUAGCGAACG